ensembl:lncRNA
GCAUACGCGUCUGACUCCGGCAAACAUAAAAGGGGAGAUUUGGACCGCUUCCCGUUAAUCCCACUCUUUGAUGGUACCCGCUAAAAACAAAGUACCGUAACAUGUGUCGGCUCUUCAUGCCACAACAGACGAGGUCACCGUGGGCGGAUCGGAGGACGGAUACACACUAGGUGGCCCCGUGAACCGGCGAUGCUGACCCCUGAGAUUGACAUCACAAAAGGUUAUUUGACAGCUGAACAUGGAUUCAAACAAAGUAAUGCACAGGCGAAGACCCGAAGCCCUGUUAUUGAGGCCGGUAACAUCCACUAAGGACAGGAAGGCAUACAGGAUCCCCACUGUUUGCCUGGAGGUCAACAAAGUCAUCAGUCUACUCGAAGGUCCAUUGACAGCUACUUUAAAGGAGAGGCACCUUUUCACACUCAAGAAACUUCUGCAGAGGUCCCAAAACGGCUUU